rnacentral:rRNA from 2 species
CCUACGGGAGGCAGCAGUGGGGAAUAUUGCACAAUGGGCGGAAGCCUGAUGCAGCAACGCCGCGUGCGGGAUGACGGCCUUCGGGUUGUAAACCGCUUUCGCCUGUGACGAAGCGUGAGUGACGGUAAUGGGUAAAGAAGCACCGGCUAACUACGUGCCAGCAGCCGCGGUAAUA